rnacentral:rRNA from 1 species
UACGGGGGGUGCAAGCGUUAUUCGGAAUCACUGGGCGUAAAGAGCGCGUAGGCUGCUUAGUAAGUCAAUUGUGAAAGCCCAGGGCUUAACCCUGGAAGUGCAGUUGAUACUGCUAAGCUUGAGUAUGGGAGAGGGAAGUGGAAUUCCUGGUGUAGCGGUGAAAUGCGUAGAUAUCAGGAGGAACACCGGUGGCGAAGGCGACUUCCUGGACCAAUACUGACGCUGAGGCGCGAAGGCGUGGGGAGCAAACAGG